GAACACAUUUCUUGUAUAUUUUCUACCUUAAACAUAUUGUAUAUUUUCUACCAUAAAACAUAUAUUAAGAGUAGUAGAAAUGUGAGGUUGUGAUAAACAAAGGUGUUGUACCUGAACUCCUAAGAGAAAAAUGUAUCACUAACUAAAGAUGGAUGUGAAGAGACAGAUAGUUGGGUUGAGUUUUGUGUUUGGUUUUGGUUUUGUUUGUUCAGUAUUUGAAAGGAGAUAUGGGGAGAGAGGGGGACAAAGGAAGAGAGAGAGAGGGAGAAAGUGAGAGAAGGAGGCAGAGAGACAGAGAACCUAUGCACUGGUUCACUUACCAAAUACUCUCAACAGCUGGAGUGGAAUGCAAUCCACAUCUCCCAUGUGAAUGCCAGGAAUGUAAUUACUUGAACCAUCACCUGCUGCCUCCCAGGGUGCGCAUUAGCAGGAAGCUGAAAUCAAGAGUACAGCUUGAACUUGGUCCCAGGCACGCUAACAUGAAAUAUAGGGGUCUCAAGUGGCGUUUUAACUGCUAAGCCAAAUGUUUGCUUCAGUUUUGCUUAUUCUAUAAAUAUAUUGAGUUUGAAACUAGAGUAUAGAAUACAUACAGAAAUUUGCAAUGAAUCUUUGAAUUUUGAAUUGAAAUGAGAGUAAGGAAGUCAGAGGUAAGGUAAGGAUAGGGGCGUGAUAGACAAUUGUAUGGAGGUGACAGUUAGAAUGAUCAGGUUAGACCUUCCAAGAGAUAAAGAAAAGUUUAAAUCUACAGAACCCAAACUUCUUUGUCUGAGAAAAGAACAGCUGAAGUGUGGGCCACCUUCUUGUUGCAGCUUCUAUUGACAAUCAGUAGCAUGAAAUGUGAAUCUUCAGAAACAGCUUAGUCAUCCCAUUUCAUUUUUCAGUGGCUAGACUCUACUGGGGAGUGGUAUUUACAACGUGAAAGUGGUAAUUACAGAAGAGCAUCUCUGAGCCACACUGAUGAUAAAGUGUUCUUGGAUUCCAUGGAACAGUGGUAUCUUCCCUGAUUUCCACUCUGCCAACCCAUCAAACAGAUUUCUCUGGCUCCUGACUUCAGAUUCAAUCCAACACAGGUUCUGGGAAGAAGUGGUGUUGAUUGAAGGAACUGUGUUACUGCCUGGAGAGGUCUGGACUGUGAUUCUGGCUCCUGGCUUAGGCCCAGCCCAACUCUGGUCACCGAGGACAUUUGCAGAGUCAGCAAAUGAGGGUUCUCUCCCUACUUUCUCCAUGUGUCCUUUUCUGUCUCUGUCUCUCAAAGAAAUAAAAGUCAAUUAAAAUUCAAACAAUAAAUGCACAUAUUGGACUUCUAUGUAUAACUUU
rnacentral:lncRNA from 1 species